rnacentral:rRNA from 1 species
GAAAUUUCAUUCGCACUAGUGAUAGCUAGUUUCUCCGGAAAGAUAUAAAAGUGUCGGCAAAAAUAUAAUUUAUAAUACAAAUUAUUAUAUAUACAUAUAUUUCACUAAUUUUUUUGAGGAUAAGCUCAAAAAAAAGUUAAGGAUUAUUCUAAUUAGAUUUGCUGUGCGGGCUUAAAAUUGGCCAACACAAAAGUUUUUUAUAAAAUAGCGAUCUUAGUUUUAUAAAUAAAUAUAAUUUAAACUAACUUUUUACGGAGAUAAGAGCUUUAACUUAAAUAAGUUUUAUGCCUAUGCUAGAAUGAGUAUUAAAACUUAAUUAUAAAAGAUUUAUUUGUAUCUUCUUUUUGAAAAAUUAAAAAAACUAAUUAACUGGAAGGAAUUCAGCAAGUUUAGUUGUUUCGCCUGUUUAUCAAAAACAUGGCUCUUUGACUAUAUAAAAUAUAAAGAGUCGAGCCUGCCC